ACAGUACAAUGGCCUGAGUCCAAUUGAGCUGCGCAAAGUGAACGUUCAAGUAACAAAGCAAUAGGAAUGCGAGGCAGUGUGGAAUGACUACGGCCGCCCCAUCUACCCUACGCCGAUCUGUGCUGCUCGUUUUGAGGAUAAAACCUACGGCCCCUGCCAUGGUGAUUCAGGGGGUCCGUUGCUCUACGAGGGAAAGAUUGUGGGGAUUGCGUCGUGGGGCUAUGCAUGUGGCGAGCCUCCCUACCCUUCUGUCUACACACGUGUCUCUAGCUACGUGGACUGGGUCAUUGAGAAGACUAAUGCAUCGCUGGUGUAUUGAUAGCACCGUUGGAUCUGUAUUUGCUACAGUUUUUAAAUGUUGAUAAAAGUUAAUAUUGUGUUAUCACAGUAUGUUAUUUAUGUCAAUGUCUGUCUGAAAGUGACAAUAAAAUUUCAUCUGAAGUUUCUUA